GUGUUUGCUUCAGCAGCACAUGUACUAACACUGGAACGAUACAGAGAAGAUUAGCAUGGCCCCUAAGCAAGGAUGACACACAGAUUCGUGAAGAAAGCUUUUCUGUA